CCCUUGGAGGGGACUGCGGAGGGACAUUA
rnacentral:rRNA from 1 species